AGUGAACGCUGGCGGUAGGCUCAACAUAUGCAAGUUGAACGGCAGCACAGGAGAGCUUCCUCUCUAGGUGGCGAGUGGCGGUCGGGUGAGGAAUACAUCGGAACCUGCCCAGCCGAGGGGGCUAACGCAGGGCAACUUACGCUAAUACCGCAUACGACCUUCGGCAGAAUGAGGGGGACCGCAAGGCCUCUCGCGACCGGCUGAGCCGAUGUCGGUUUAGGUUGAUCGCGGGGUAAUGGCCCACCAAGGCGACGACCCGUAGCUGGCCUGAGAGGAUGUCCAGCCGCACUGGAACUGAGACACGGUCCAGACUCCUACGGGAGUCAGCGGUGUGGAGUAUUGGACAAUGGGCGCAAGCCUGGGCCAGCCAGACCGCGUCGGUGAAUGAGGCCUGCGGGUUGUAAAGUCCUAUUGUUGGGGAAGAGGUCUUGCAGGCUAAUACCCUGGGAGGAUGACGGUACCCAAACAAUAAGCACCGGCUAACUUCGUG
rnacentral:rRNA from 1 species